UCAGCCGCCGCGGUAAUACGAAGGGGGCUAGCGUUGCUCGGAAUUACUGGGCGUAAAGGGAGCGUAGGCGGACAUUUAAGUCAGGGGUGAAAUCCCAGAGCUCAACUCUGGAACUGCCUUUGAUACUGGGUGUCUUGAGUGUGAGAGAGGUAUGUGGAACUCCGAGUGUAGAGGUGAAAUUCGUAGAUAUUCGGAAGAACACCAGUGGCGAAGGCGACAUACUGGCUCAUUACUGACGCUGAGGCUCGAAAGCGUGGGGAGCAAACAGGAUUAGAUACCCUGGUAGUCCACGCCGUAAACGUUGGGCACUAGGUGUGGGGGACAUUCCACGUUUUCCGCGCCGUAGCUAACGCAUUAAGUGCCCCGCCUGGGGAGUACGAUCGCAAGAUUAAAACUCAAAGGAAUUGACGGGGCCCCGCACAAGCAGCGGAGCAUGCGGCUUAAUUCGACGCAACGCGAAGAACCUUACCAAGGCUUGACAUAUACCGGAAUAUGGCAGAAAUGUCAUAGCUGUAAAAGGUCGGUAUACAGGUGGUGCAUGGUUGUCGUCAGCUCGUGUCGUGAGAUGUUGGGUUAAGUCCCGCAACGAGCGCAACCCUCGUUCUGUGUUGCCAGCAUUUAGUUGGGGACUCACAGGAGACUGCCGGGGUCAACUCGGAGGAAGGUGGGGAUGACGUCAAAUCAUCAUGCCCCUUAUGUCUUGGGCUGCACGCAUGCUACAAUGGCUGGUACAAAGGGCUGCGAUACCGCAAGGUGGAGCGAAUCCCAAAAAGCCAGUCUCAGUUCGGAUUGGGGUCUGCAACUCGACCCCAUGAAGUCGGAGUUGCUAGUAAUCGCAGAUCAGCAACGCUGCGGUGAAUACGUUCCCGGGGCUUGUACACACCGCCCGUCAAAC
rnacentral:rRNA from 1 species